AGAGUUUGAUCAUGGCUCAGAACGAACGUUGGCGGCGUGGAUUAGGCAUGCAAGUCGAACGAGAAACCCUGGGCAACUGGGGUGGAAAGUGGCGAAAGGGGCAGUAAUGCAUGGGUAACCUACCUCGGGGACCGGCAUAGCCAUCCUAACGGGUGGGUAAUUCCGGGCGAUUUGGCGAAGACGCAUGUCUUUGCCAGGAAAUGAAUUUCGCCUCGAGAGGGGCUCAUGUGGUAUUAGCUAGUUGGUGAGGUAACGGCUCACCAAGGCAAAGAUGCCUAGCGGGUGUGAGAGCACGACCCGCGCCACUGGCACUGAGACACUGGCCAGACUCCUACGGGAGGCUGCAGUCGAGGAUCUUCGGCAAUGGGCGCAAGCCUGACCGAGCGACGCCGCGUGUGCGAUGAAGGCCUUCGGGUUGUAAAGCACUGUCGAGGGGGAGGAAGCCGAAAGGUUGACCUAUCCCUGGAGGAAGCACGGGCUAAGUUCGUGCCAGCAGCCGCGGUAAGACGAACCGUGCGAACGUUGUUCGGAAUCACUGGGCUUAAAGGGCGCGUAGGCGGUCGAUCAAGUCUGGGGUGAAAUCUUUCGGCUUAACCGGAAAAGUGCCUUGGAUACUGGUCGGCUGGAGGGAGGUAGGGGCAGCUGGAACUUCCGGUGGAGCGGUGAAAUGCGUUGAUAUCGGAAGGAACGCCGGUGGCGAAAGCGAGCUGCUGGACCUCUUCUGACGCUGAUGCGCGAAAGCUAGGGGAGCAAACGGGAUUAGAUACCCCCGUAGUCC
rnacentral:rRNA from 1 species